rnacentral:rRNA from 1 species
GACGUAGGGCGCGAGCGUUGUCCGGAUUUAUUGGGCGUAAAGAGCUCGUAGGCGGCUUGUCGCGUCGACUGUGAAAUCCCGCGGCUCAACUGCGGGUCUGCAGUCGAUACGGGCAGGCUAGAGUUCGGUAGGGGAGACUGGAAUUCCUGGUGUAGCGGUGAAAUGCGCAGAUAUCAGGAGGAACACCGGUGGCGAAGGCGGGUCUCUGGGCCGUAACUGACGCUGAGGAGCGAAAGCAUGGGGAGCGAACGGG